UUUCUCCGUCCGUACGAUCAAGGAAAUCGAUCUCUACAGCUUUGAGCCCCGGGAGCUACCCUGUAAGUAAUCGUGCCAACCAAGUACUCCGCACGAUGUCUGUUUAAGAUUAAUUAGUUCAGUAACUAGAAUUCAGAAGUUAAUGGAAUAUUUUGUUGCGAUGCAGGCCAUUCUGACAUUCAGUCUGAGGAGGAAGUGUGGUACUUUUUCUGUGAGCCUUGUUACAAAAAUUCCGAGAGUAAACGGGUACAUAGAAGAACAAAGGAAGGCUACUGGAAAAAGACUGGCAGAGGCUCUAACAUCAACCGCAAAUACAAGACUGAGGUGAUUGGUACGAAGAAGUUUUUGUCUUUUUCCCGCGAUGAUGCUGCUGCCCAGAAAAAUAUGACUGAGUGGGUUAUACACGAGAUAGCUGUUGAAGAUAGCCCUGACUUUAAGGUAUUAGCCUCUGUUUUAGAACUGCAUAUGUGUUGUGAAAUAGUCUGUUUGUUUUCGUGAAAAAUAAUUGUAAAAUACUCUGUUCAUGUUAUUGCAGAAGGACUUUGUUGUGUGUCGCCUUGAAAGAAAACGGGAGAAGAAAACGCUUGGUGUUGUUUCCACUAAGAGGAAACGGGAGAAGACGCUUGGUGUUGUUUCCUCUAAGAGAAAACGGGACAAGAAGCUUGGUGUUUCCACCAGCGAUGGUGAUCAAUCUUGUCAAAAUUUGACUUCUAAAAGAAGUCACGUUGCAGAAGAUUCUAAUAGAAAUCAUGUUGCAGAAAAAGUAGAUUUGGUUUCUACUAGGAAUCAUGUUGCAGAAAAUAUUGUUUUGGUCCCUGAACCUCAGGUAAGGGACCAUUCGAUUUCUUGUUACAGAAAUCAUGUUGCAGAAAAUAUCGUCGAAGAUUCUGUUGAGGCAGAAACUCGACGGCUGGCAGAACUCAAUCGACGGGGUGAUGGCUAUGAUGGACGGAAUGACGCCUCUGUCUCGGCUGUGCAGUCAUCAGAUUAUCCAGAACAGGAAUCAUCAGAUUAUAAUGGUUCUAGUUGUGGUAGCGGUUUAUUGAAUUCUCAGUUGGACGGUGAGCAGGUCGGUGGCCAGUGCAAUUCACGGAGGGAUUUUCAGAAUGAAUACUCUCCUGAGGAAACUGGAGAGACCACUCCUGACUUCUUGACAUCGAAGUCAGAUGAAGGAGUUUACGUGGAGGAUGGCAGUGACGCGAACUCUGAAACCGAAUCCUUCAAUGAAUGGGUAAACAUGGUCUUUGACUAUCAAAUCCUCAAGGAGGAUAUUAGAUCAUUAUGAAUGUUGUAAUGUUGCUUCACUUAUGGUGUAUUGUAUUCCAAGCUUUGUAUUCUUUGAGAGUAGUUUUUACACCCAAGAGGUUGUUAAUUUUGUAAACUAAAGGCAAGGCAGCAGGUCCGAGAUCUUCUGGGUUGUCUCAGAAUUCAGAACUUAAUGAGGGGAUCAUGUUACUGUCCAGUAUGCUCAUAGAUUUUGCAAUGUUAUUGCCCAAUCUUUAGCUAAAUCAGCUCUAUAGAAAUGUGAAACUGUUGUUUUGGGCUCGUACCCUUCGCGACUUAUGUACCUAUUUUCUUCUUUGAAUUGAAAGCGUCUUUAUUCUCAGGAAAAAAAAGAUUGUAUUUUUUACAUAUUGGGAAUAUUAGAUAAGCAUGUAGUCUUGCUCAUCAAAGAAAUUUACUGAGUAACUGAAAUAGAAAAUAAAAGAUCCAUAAUCCAUUUAUAUAUGAUGUUAAAAUUUCUUGUGAUGGGAACCAUUUCAUUCAUGUAUGUAUGACACCUUUUUGUUGGCUUCUCUAACGAUCUCCGAGCAUCCUUGUAAAUAAUACAAAGAAGUUAGUCAAGCAGUUCAUUGUGGCUUUGAAGCUUAAAUAAUUUUCACAUAUUGAAAAGCAAAAACGAGAGAUAAAAUGAACCCCAUCCCAGAUGACUGAAGUUGCUCCUUCAGAAAGGUGACUUAUUUACUUUAAAGAAACAAGUAAUUAAGCAGAAACAAGAGCUAAAAAUGCGCAGAGCACUGCUUUUUUCAAUUUAUUGGAAUACAUAUAUAAAAGACUGUUUCUGGUACCCCAAGAUGGGUGAUGUACAACUACAGCUACUCUGCGCUCCUCAUAAUCAUUUUCCAAUGGUCUACGUAGAGUUACCGAUGGGCAUUUGAUCUAAUAGGAGAAGUCAUACACUUAUAAUGUUGAGUAUAAAAGUUAGAAGCUCCAUAAAAUUUGUAUAGAGGUUAAUUUCAGUACUCCCUCAAUUAUCAACAUAAUUGAGUGGAGACAGUCUCUCCCUUACGAAAUAUGAGUGGAGUAGGCACUCCUCGAAUAUUAGAGAGGGUUUAAAAUAUAUAGGUAAAUGCUUCAGUAUGUUAAUGUAUGGUGGUGGUCCCAGUUAAAUAGUAUGAUUAUAAAUAUUAAUUGUAAUAUCUGAUGUAAUGUCAAUAACAUCUGUAUAUAACAGACUUAAAAAAAAAUAGUCUACAUAGAGUUAAUCGAAAGCUAGUGAAAUGAUUUUGAAGAUAAAAUUGGUCAUUCCAGAUUUAUUAAAAUUGAUUCUGAAAACACAUUUCUGAAAGUACACUUUUGAAAACACAUUACUGAAAAUACAUUUUUUAAAAAGUGCUGACUAAUAUCCAAAGAAUUUUUUUUUUCAACGCUAAAAUAUAAAUACUGAGCUAACAAAACCGUAUUUUAAAACAGAUUUUUAGAAAUGAUAAAUGCUCAUUUAGUUCUUAUAUUUUAAUGUUGUGCUCAUAAUUUUAAAAAUAACUCAAAACAUCAUUAUUAAACUAUUGAUAUCCAUGCCUUUACAUUAUGUUUCUUUUAGCUUAUUUUUAUAAUAUUACCCUCUUAAAAUAAUUUUUUUAAAUAUUAAUGAAAAAUCAAAUUAUCAAUUUAACUCCAAAAAUAAAAUAAAAACAAAAAGAAUAUGUAAUUUUUUUGUGGAAACUCACCUAUGUUUAAAAAAAUUAAUCUUGUAAAAAAAUUAAAUUACCAAUUUUUUUGAACAUUAAUAAAAAAAAUUAUAUAUUAGCUCUUUAGUAAUAUAUUUAAAAAAAAUUAACAUAUAUAAUAUUUUUUAUUUUAUUUUUGGUUUAAUUUUUUUUAUUAAUGUCUACAAAAAUUACUGAAAGAGAAUAAUAUUAUAAAACUAAAUCAUAAGGAAUUAUUUCAAAAGAGAUAUUUAGAAAUCAGUCAAGACCGCUACCAAUUGAAUGAUCUUAACCUCUCUGCUCGAGGCGGAUUCUGGUAUAAGCUGAGUCAUCUGCCACAUUUUGCCACAUCAAAUUAAAUGUCCCUUGAGUCAUAUGCUGACGUGAAUUAUUGACUACUUGUGAAAGAAGUAGAAGCUUCUAGGCUCCAGCACUAUGCCUAGAUCAGGAAGUUAUGCUUGUUUUGGAGCUGUAGAUGGAUUUUAAUAGUGGUUUGUCAAGUUUCCAAUGACCUAAGAUGAGGGCUCUGUGUGAAAAUUUUCUAAUGAUUUUUUUUUUGUUUUUAUUGGUGUUUUAUGAUUUUAUUUUACUUUUUUAGUAUUUUGUAAGUUCAUUAAAUUCAUAGAUAUUUACUUUUGAUUUCUUCUAUUAUGAUCCGGUGAUAAUAUUGUGUUUUAUUUAUUAGCAUUAUGUUGAGGUUUUUCUCCAUUGGACUUUGUUUUUUUUUAACACUAAUUACACAUCCGAUUAUUAUAUUACAUAUAUUUAUAACUGUUAUUAUAGCAGACUUUACAUUGAUAUUUACAAUCAAAUAUAUAAUUUGGGACUUACAUUAUUAAUUUAAUUUUAUGAAAUACAUACCCAAGUAUAUGACCCUCACAGACAAAGGAUUUAUCUAUUUUACUCGCAUUUCGUAAGAGAGAAAGACUUACAAAUUAACUCUACAUAAUUUUUUAUUUAAUUGAGGAAAGUUGAACCUAUGAAGAUUCAAACUAUUACCCUCAUAAUUUUUUUAACUUUGAGAGUAGACUUACAAAUUAACUCUACAUAAUUUUUUAUUUAAUUGAGGAAAAUUGAGCUUAUGAAAAUUCAAAUCAUUACCCUCAUAAUUUUUUUUUUAACUUUGAGAGUAAUAAUUUAUCACUAAGCUAAAGUCUAAGUGGCGAUUGGACUUUGUUAGAUCUUAGUAUGUUGAAUUUUUUUCUUUCAAUUUUAAAGAAUUAAUAGUAUUGAUAGUUCACUUUUUGUAUGGCCAAAACUAUGUUGCCACAUAGGUUUCGUACUUUUUUUUUUUUUUUUUUUAUCUUUUUCAAGAUCACUUAUAGUAGAGUCCAUUUGUUUUUUUAAGAAAAAAGGCUAAAAACUUUUCUAUUUUCAGACAUUAGUCCUGCACCUCUAGUAAACAACAGGGACACUUAAUGUUAAUAACCUAAUAAAUACAUUUAAGCGUUAUACAACUCUAGUAUUAAAUCCAAAGUGGAUUUGAAAAAGACGAAAAAAAGGUACCAAACCCGUGAGUAACAUAGUUGGGCCACUUGGGCUUGUAGUCCAGUGGUGAACCAUUGCCCUCAAAGUUAAACAUGACUAUGAGGGCAAUGGUUCGAGUCCCCACGGACUCAACCUCCUUCAAUUAAAUAUAAUUGUGUGGAGACUUCUUAUAACGUCUUUCUUUCUUGCGAAAUGCGAGUGGAGUAGAAACAUCCCUCCUCCGUGAGAGGUAUUUGGAUAGACAUGUACUUCAUAAAAUAAAAAUGUAAUAGUAUAAGUCUCAUGUAUAUAUCGGAUUGUAAAUAUCAGUAUAAUAAUCUGCAGUCAUAAUAAUUGUAUAUAUUUUUGUGUAAUACAGUAACCUGAUGCUUAAUCAAUUCAAAAAAAAAAAAAACAUAGCUGGACCCCCUUUUUUUUAAUAUGUUGUUACUGCUGUCAUAAAAAUAUUAGACAUUCGUGUCUUAGGCUCUUCCACAAGAAAUUUAAGUGCUGUAUUUAAAUCCGAUUUAACCCAUUGUACUUAAACACAAUGUCACUUAUUAUUAUACUCUCCGCUAACUUUAUUUCUUUUAAUGAAAUUUAUUAAAAGCAUUAAAAGAACUACAGUUGUAAAAAAAAAUUAUCAAUUUCCUUUUUAAAAAAAAAAAUACUAUUCUACAUUUUACAAUACCCAGCAUUUCCACGAAUCCUUUUAGAUUUCACAGGUCAAAUUACAUUGAAGAAGCUCUUAGUCUCUUACUCUCUCACUCUUACUCUACGUUUCUCCAGCUGGGUGUUGAAUCAGAAAUUAAUGGACAGUCUCGUGGGGUUCAGAUUCCACCCAACUGAUGAAGAAAUCAUUCUUCUCCUGACGUUGAAGAGAUUUGACCCUGGUUUCUCUGUCCGUACGAUCAAGGAAAUUGAUUUGUACAGCUUUGAGCCUUGGGAGCUACCCUGUAAGUAAUCGUGCCAACGAGUACUCUGCAUGAUAUCUGUUUAAGUUAAUUAGUUUAGUAACUAAAAUUCAAAAGUUAAUGGAAUCUUUUGCUGCGAUGCAGGGCAUUCUGAGAUUCAGUCUGAGGAAGAAGUGUGGUACUUUUUCUGUGAGCCUUAUUACAAGUAUGCCAAGAGUAAACGGGCUAAUAGAAGGACAAAGGAAGGAUACUGGAAGAAGACUGGCAAUGGUUCAAAAAUCAAG
rnacentral:lncRNA from 1 species